rnacentral:tRNA from 1 species
GGCAUCGCCAAGUGGUAAGGCAACGGCUUCCCAAGCCGUCAUCCGCGGGUUCGAAUCCCGUUGUCCG